UACGUAGGUGGCAAGCGUUGUCCGGAUUUAUUGGGUUUAAAGGGUGCGUAGGCGGCUUUGUAAGUCAGUGGUGAAAUAUGGCAGCUCAACUGUCAGGGUGCCAUUGAUACUGCGGAGCUUGAGUACAGAUGAGGUAGGCGGAAUUGACGGUGUAGCGGUGAAAUGCUUAGAUAUCGUCAAGAACACCGAUAGCGAAGGCAGCUUACUGGGCUGUAACUGACACUGAGGCACGAAAGUGUGGGGAUCAAACAGG
rnacentral:rRNA from 1 species